AUUUAUAUAGUUUAAAAUUAAAACAUUACAUUUUCAAUGUAAAAAUAAAAAUAUUUUUAUAAAUA
rnacentral:tRNA from 1 species